UGGGGAAUAUUGGACAAUGGACGAAAGCCUGAUCCAGCCAUGCCGCGUGUGUGAAGAAGGCCUUAUGGUUGUAAAGCACUUUAAGUGGGGAGGAAAAGCUUAUGGAUAACACCCAUAGGUUCUGACGUUACCCACAGAAUAAGCACCGGCUAACUCUGUGCCAGCAGCCGCGGUAAUACAGAGGGUGCAAGCGUUAAUCGGAAUUACUGGGCGUAAAGCGAGCGUAGGUGGUUUAUUAAGUCAGAUGUGAAAUCCCUGGGCUUAACCUAGGAACUGCAUCUGAUACUGAUAAACUAGAGUAGGUGAGAGGAAAGUAGAAUUCCAGGUGUAGCGGUGAAAUGCGUAGAGAUCUGGAGGAAUACCGAUGGCGAAGGCAGCUUUCUGGCAUCAUACUGACACUGAGGUUCGAAAGCGUGGGUAGCAAACAGGAUUAGAUACCCUGGUAGUCCACGCCGUAAACGAUGUCUACCAGUCGUUGGGUCUUUUAAAGGCUUAGUGACGCAGUUAACGCGAUAAGUAGACCGCCUGGGGAGUACGGCCGCAAGGUUA
rnacentral:rRNA from 1 species